GACCGCAGUGGCAGAGCGGUAACGUUCGCGACUUUUAUUCGUCAGAUCGUAGGUUCGAGGCCCGCCACGGUCU